rnacentral:rRNA from 1 species
UACGGGGGGGGGCAAGCGUUGUUCGGAAUUACUGGGCGUAAAGGGCUCGUAGGCGGCCAACUAAGUCAAACGUGAAAUCCCUCGGCUUAACCGGGGAACUGCGUCUGAUACUGGAUGGCUUGAGUUUGGGAGAGGGAUGCGGAAUUCCAGGUGUAGCGGUGAAAUGCGUAGAUAUCUGGAGGAACACCGGUGGCGAAGGCGACUUUCUGGCCUGUUCUUGACGCUGAGGCGCGAAAGCUAGGGGAGCAAACGGG